UUCCCUGUGGUCCAGUGGUUAGGACUUGGUGCUUUCACUGCCAUGGUCCCGGGUUCAGUCCCUGGUUGGGAAC
rnacentral:tRNA from 1 species